UGCUUGCACCUGAUGGCGAGUGGCGAACGGGUGAGUAAUAUAUCGGAACAUGUCCGGAAGUGGGGGGUAACGUACCGAAAGGUACGCUAAUACCGCAUAUGCCCUGAGGGGGAAAGGGGGGGAUCGCAAGACCUCUCGCUUUCGGAGUGGCCGAUAUCGGAUUAGCUAGAUGGUGAGGUAAAGGCUCACCAUGGCGACGAUCCGUAGCUGGUCUGAGAGGACGACCAGCCACACUGGAACUGAGACACGGUCCAGACUCCUACGGGAGGCAGCAGUGGGGAAUUUUGGACAAUGGGCGCAAGCCUGAUCCAGCCAUACCGCGUGAGUGAAGAAGGCCUUCGGGUUGUAAAGCUCUUUCGCGAGGGAAGAAAAUGCACGGGCCAAUACCCCGUGUAGAUGACGGUACCUUGAUAAGAAGCACCGGCUAACUACGUGCCAGCAGCCGCGGUAAUACGUAGGGUGCGAGCGUUAAUCGGAAUUACUGGGCGUAAAGCGUGCGCAGGCGGUUUUUUAAGCCAGAUGUGAAAUCCCCGGGCUCAACCUGGGAACUGCAUUUGGAACUGGAAGACUAGAGUGUAGCAGAGGGGGGUAGAAUUCCACGUGUAGCAGUGAAAUGCGUAGAUAUGUGGAGGAAUACCGAUGGCGAAGGCAGCCCCCUGGGCUAACACUGACGCUCAUGCACGAAAGCGUGGGGAGCAAACAGGAUUAGAUACCCUGGUAGUCCACGCCCUAAACGAUGUCAACUAGGUGUUGGGGAAGGAGACUUCUUUAGUACCGCAGCUAACGCGUGAAGUUGACCGCCUGGGGAGUACGGUCGCAAGAUUAAAACUCAAAGGAAUUGACGGGGACCCGCACAAGCGGUGGAUUAUGUGGAUUAAUUCGAUGCAACGCGAAAAACCUUACCUACCCUUGACAUGCCAGGAAGAUUCCA
rnacentral:rRNA from 1 species